AGUUUUGCGCAGUGGCAGUAUCAUAGCCAAUGAGGUUUAUCCGAGGCGCGAUUAUUGCUAAGAAUGGAUCCAUAAAUAAUGGCUGAACAGUUGAUCAGCAAAUGGAAGAGUCAGUAUUAGUAAUAGAUCCUAUAUU